GAUGAACGCUGGCGGCGUGCCUAAUACAUGCAAGUCGAGCGAACAGAUGAGGAGCUUGCUCCUCUGACGUUAGCGGCGGACGGGUGAGUAACACGUGGAUAACCUACCUAUAAGACUGGGAUAACUUCGGGAAACCGGAGCUAAUACCGGAUAAUAUAUUGAACCGCAUGGUUCAAUAGUGAAAGACGGUUUUGCUGUCACUGAUAGAUGGAUCCGCGCCGCAUUAGCUAGUUGGUAAGGUAACGGCUUACCAAGGCAACGAUGCGUAGCCGACCUGAGAGGGUGAUCGGCCACACUGGAACUGAGACACGGUCCAGACUCCUACGGGAGGCAGCAGUAGGGAAUCUUCCGCAAUGGGCGAAAGCAUGACGGAGCAACGCCGCGUGAGUGAUGAAGGUCUUCGGAUCGUAAAACUCUGUUAUUAGGGAAGAACAAAUGUGUAAGUAACUAUGCACGUCUUGACGGUACCUAAUCAGAAAGCCACGGCUAACUACGUG
rnacentral:rRNA from 1 species